GAUGAAGAACGUAGUGAAAUGCGAUAAGUAAUGUGAAUUGCAGAAUUCAGUGAAUCAUCGAAUCUUUGAACGCACAUUGCGCCCGCCAGUAUUCUGGCGGGCAUGCCUGUUCGAGCGUCAUUUCAACCAUCAAGCCCCCGGCUUGUGUUGGGGACCUGCGGCUGCCGCAGGCCCUGAAAACCAGUGGCGGGCUCGCUAGUCACUCCGAGCGUAGUAAUACAUCUCGCUCAGGGCGUGCUGCGGGUUCCGGCCGUUAAACCACCUUCAUAACCCAAGGUUGACCUCGGAUCAGGUAGGAAGACCCGCUGAACUUAAGCAUAUCAAUAAGCGGAGGA
rnacentral:misc_RNA from 1 species